rfam:Otolemur garnettii contig041523, whole genome shotgun sequence.
UUGCUUUGGCAGCACAUAUGCUAAAGUUGGAACCAUACAGAAAAGAUUAGCAUAACGCCUGUGCAAGGAUGACAUGCAAAUUCGUGAAGAGCUUCAAAAAGAA